rnacentral:rRNA from 1 species
AAAUUGAAGAGUUUGAUCAUGGCUGUGAUUGAACGCUGGCGGCAGGCCCAACACAUGCAAGCUCGGUAUCCAGGCCAGCAGCUUGCUGCUUCGCUGACGAGUGGCGGACGGUGAGUAAUGUCUGGGAAACUGCCUGAUGGAGGGGAUAACUACUGGAAACGGUGGCUACGCAUAACGUCGCAAAGACCAAAGAGGGGGGACCUUCGGCCUUGCCAUCAGAUGUGCCCAGAUGUGGGGAUUAGCUUGUUGGUGAGGUAACGCCUCACCAAGGCGACGAUCCCCAGCUGGUCUGGAGAGUGACGACCAGCCACACCGGAACUGAGACACGGUCCAGACCCUACGGAGGCAGCAGUGGGAAUAUUGCAUCACCGGGCGCAAAGCCUGAUGCAAGCUACGCCGCGUAUGAAGAAGGCCUUCGGGUUGUAAAGUACUUCAGCGGGGAGGGAAGGUGUUGUGGUUACGUAACCGCAGCAAUUGGACGUUACCCCGCAGAAGAAGCACCGGCUAACCCGUGCCAGCAGCCGCGGUAAUACGGUGGAGGGCGCAAGCGUUAAUCGGAAUUACGUAAAGCGCACGCAGGCGGUCUGUCAAGUCGGAUGUGAAAUCCCAACUCCGGGAACUGCAUUCGAAACCGGCAGGCUUGAGUCUUGUAGAGGGGGUAGAAUUCGCGUAAAGCGGUGAAAUGCGUAGAGAUCUGGAGGAAUACCGGUGGCGAAGGCGGCCCCCGGACAAAGACUGACGCUCAGGUGCGAAAGCGUGGGGAGCAAACAGGAUUAGAUACCUCGGUAGUCCACGCCGCAAACCUGAUGUCUACUUGAGGUUGCAGCGCCCUUUGAGGCGGCCUGGAGCUAACGCGUUAAGUAGACCGCCCGGGAGUACGGCCGCAAGGUUAAAACUCAAUGAAUUGACGGGGCCCGCACAAGCGGUGGAGCAUGGUUUACCCGAUGCAAACGCGAAGAACCUUACCCGGUUCGGCCAAUCACCAGAACUUUCCAGAGAUGGGAUUGGUGCCUUCGGGAACUGUGGAGACAGGGUGCUGCAUGGCUGUCGUCAAGCUCGUGUUGUGAAAUGUUGGUUGUCCCGCAACGAGCGCAACCCUCAUCCUUUGUUGCCAGCGAUUAGGUCGGGAACUCAAAGGAGACUGCCAGUGAUAACCGGAGGAAGGUGGGGAUGACGUCAAGUCAUCACGCCCCACGACCGUGGCUACACACGCGCCAAAUGGCGCAUGUACAAAGAGCAGUUAAUCCAGCAAGCGACCCUCAUAAAGCGUCGUGAAGUCCGAUUGAGUUCGCAACUGACUCCAUGAAGUCGGAAUCGCUAGUAAUCGUGGAUCGUGAAUGCCACGGUGAAUACGUUCCCGGCCUUGCACCGCCCGUCACAAUUCAUGGGAGUGGGUUGCAAAAGAAGUAGGUAGCUUAACCCUGGGAGUGGCGCUACCUUGUGAUUCGGCGACUGGGUGAAGUCGCAACAAGGUAACCGUAGGGGAAAUCCUGCGGUUGAUCACCUCACCU